UAUGUACUCCCUCCGUUCGAAAAAGAUUGUCCUUUAAAUGGUUGUAUCUAGCAUCAAGUUAGUGUUAGAUACAUCCAUUUGAGGCACAAGUUUGGGACAAGUUUUUUCGGACGAAGGGAGUAUGAA
rnacentral:pre_miRNA from 1 species